GGCAAUGUAGCUCAGCUGGUUAGAGCAUCGCAUUCAUAAUGCGAGGGUCGCAGGUUCGAGUCCCGCCAUUGCCACCA
rnacentral:tRNA from 3 species